AUUGAACGCUGGCGGAAUGCUUUACACAUGCAAGUCGAACGGCAGCACGGACUUCGGUCUGGUGGCGAGUGGCGAACGGGUGAGUAAUGUAUCGGAACGUGCCCAGUCGUGGGGGAUAACGUAGUAAAAAUUACGCUAAUACCGCAUACGAUCUAUGGAUGAAAGCGGGGGAUCGCAAGACCUCGCGCGAUUGGAGCGGCCGAUAUCAGAUUAGGUAGUUGGUGGGGUAAAGGCCCACCAAGCCAACGAUCUGUAGCUGGUCUGAGAGGGCGACCAGCCACACUGGAACUGAGACACGGUCCAGACUCCUACGGGAGGCAGCAGUGGGGAAUUUUGGACAAUGGGCGAAAGCCUGAUCCAGCCAUUCCGCGUGCAGGAUGAAGGCCCUCGGGUUGUAAACUGCUUUUGUACAGAACGAAAAGGUUUCUACUAAUACUAGGAGCUCAUGACGGUACUGUAAGAAUAAGCACCAGCUAACUACGUGCCAGCCGCCGCGGUAA
rnacentral:rRNA from 1 species